rnacentral:lncRNA from 1 species
GGAGUCCAGAGUCCUCGAAGGGAAAUCUGACACAAAGAAGCAGGUGUGAGACCGGCCCCUUUCUCCCAUGCCUUAGACAGGGCUCCAGGGACUGCUUCAGGGGAGAUGUCAGAGGGCAGCAGGGACCGGGAAGGGAGGAAGAAAGCAGAGUGACAGUGAGAGGUGGGAAAACUACAAGAGGAAUUGUUUGUACGCUUGGAUCUGGACUUUUAGAACUGGUCAGGACCUGACAGAUCCUCCAGCCCAGUUCUCCCGGCUCUCAAACACUGGCAUCAUUUAUAAUUCCCUGGAAAAUCACCAGCAGGUAAAUGAAGGAGAAAAGAAAAGAACAAAAUCCACCGGGAACCAGAGACUUCCAGGCUCCAAAGACAGGCAAUCUCCACCAGGAAACACAGGAGAAGCCCUGAAAAGUUAGUCUUCUGGAAGAGAAAUUUACAUCUACAAAGGAAAUCUCCAUUUGUAAGUGUGUCUUCUUCUGCACUAGGAAGAGAAGGAUGACUAAAUCAGAGAAGUCUCUUGUCAGAGAAAGCACGGACUUCAGUC